ACCCUGAAUAUUGGCACUGGAAUUGGCCACUGUUUCUAACAUCCAAGAUGACUAAAUAUUAAUAAUAUCUUUUUCAUUUAUAUUUUCACCAUAUAGUCGUGUUACAACAUGACACCGUUGUCAUAAUACAUGAAGUCUUGCUUGAGAAUGCUCCGGGCACGUGGCUAUAAAACGUAGAAUGGAAAUUGUAACAAUAAAAUCUUAACUUUAAUAGAAUACUAACUAAACUCUAAUUAGACCAUAACAAUGCUAAGCAAGCUUUAAUCAAAUUCAAAGAAACCUCAAAAGAAUUACAAAGAAAUAAUAAAAAAUCUUAUAGAAAUAUUAAAAUGAUCACAAAUAUAUUUUAAAUACAUCUCAAUUCAAUCUUAAUUUAAUCCUAGUUAAAAUCCUAUUGGACUUUAUUCAAAUUUUAGGCCAAAAACUAACUAAAUCUUAAAUCCUAAAUAAAUUCAAAUAAAAUCCUAAAUCUUAAAUCAAAUCUUGACCAAAUCCUAACCAAACCUUAAAUUCUAAACCAAAUCCUAAAUCCUUAAUCAAAUCCUAAUCCUAAAUCAAAUCUUAACCAAAUCUUAAAUCCUAAAUCAAACCCUAAUCCUAAAUCAAAUCCUAACCAAAUCCUAAAUCCUAAAUCAAAUCCUAACCAAAUCCUAACUAAACCCUAAAUCUUAAACCAAAUCCUAAUCAAAUCCUAAAUCCUAAACCAAACUCUAAUCCUAAAUCAAACCCUAACCAAAUCUUAAAUCAAACCCUAAAUCUUUAAUCAAAUCUUAAUUAAAUCCUAAUUCUAAAUCAAAUCCUAACCAUACUCUAAAUCCUAAAUCAAAUCCUAAUCAAAUUCUAAAUCCUAAAUCAAAUCCUAAUCCUAAAUCAAACCCUAAACCUUAAAUCAACUCCUAGUAAUUCCUACAACAAAUUUAAACCUUAUUUACUAAUGAAUGAACCGUUGAUCUUAACUCAAAAUUUUCUUGCUUUUUAACAAUUAAAUUGAUAAAAAGUACAAUUUUUUUUUAAAAAGAUCGAAAAUACCAAAUAGAUAAUAUCCUCAAAAUUGUGCUUGGAUAUUGGCUAGCCUCCUUCUCUGACCUUGAUGCUAAUCUCCUAGAGCCAAUAUCUCUCUUUUUCACCAUUCGAUUGAUCUCAAAAUUCUCAUAUAUAUAGGAAAAUAAGUCUAAUAUCCUCACACAUAAAUUUCACUCCAAUCCAACUAGUAAAUUGCAAGAAAUCUUAAAAAUCCUCACUAGACCUAAAAUUCUACUUUCUGAGACCUUGAUCCAUUUAAACCUCAAUAAUCCUCAAUUCAAUUGUUAGAUCGAGCUAAGAUUGAUAACAAAUAUUAAGCACAACUGUGAAUAUUAAUCCACAAAAUUUUACCUAUAGAUCUAUUACAAAACUCUUGAAAUCACUAGAAAUAUCAACUCUAUUUUAUUUCACAAAAUCCAAGUCAUCUGAAAACAAACUUGACUUUGUAAAGCUCUUACAAAGUCAUAACAAAUCCAAAUCGCCCAAAACCAAUGCUCAUAGAAAUCCUAUCUAGUUUGCUAUCAAAUUCUUUUCUUCGAUCUGCAAAAAAAUCCCCAAGUUACCAUAGGUGCUCGAUUUUGUGCCUCAAGGUCUGAUUUCGACCUAGGUUACUAACUGGCCCUCCUUGGAUAUCAAUAUCUAAUUUUUUUAGAUAAUUUUUGCUAAAAUUUACUUUUAACUUCUUCCUAAAGAUACUUAUUUCAUUUAUUUUUCCAAUCUAUCUUAUUUUGCCUUAUUUAUGGCACUAUAAAGUAAAUAGAAGUCACUUUUAUAAAAAGGCAGUACUACUACUAAAAGUUUUAUCACCUUCCUAUCUUUUAUCCAUCUUUUUCUAUUUUAUCUUUUAACUUGGCUCUUCUAUAAUAAGAUCUAUAGUAUCAUCUUUCACCAUAUAUCAUGGACAUACACAUGUAAGCCAAUAAUUACAUGUAUAAAUAAGUAGAAGUAAGUAAAAGUAGAUAAAAGUAAGUUAAUUCUAUAAUAUUUGGUAGGGAAGCUUCCUAGAAGUUUUAUAGACAUUGCUUUGACUUUAUAGGUAUCUUUAAUUGACUUUUUGGAUUAGAAACGUGGUCAAUAAGUUGGCCAUGUGCCACACAUGUUGUUAGCUUGAAGACCAAGCUAACUCUGUGGCCCAUACAUAGAAAAACUUGCUUUGUAAGUCUAGGCAUGUGUCCUACAAAGUCAACAUAUAUUGGAGGUCCUAUAGAAUGUCGCCACAUAGUCCCUAGUUAAAUAGUAUAUAUAGAGACAUGAGUGAAGCCUUCUUCACUCUUGUCAACUCCUUUCUUACUUCCAAUCUAAUUUCAAGGGUCUCUAGUUUUCUUGUCUUUUGGCAAUAGCCAUUCCAAUUUUUUUUUUAAUAUAUAUAUAUCAAGUUACUUCUAUUUUUUCAUCUUUCUAAGAAGUCUCACUUCUUUAUUUGUCUUUAUUAUGUUCUUGUCCUUGAUACCAUAUAGUCAUGUUACAACAUGACAACCACCCCCUCUGAACUUGUACAUCCUUCAGUAUGCAUCAAGUAAUCCAACUUUGUUUGAUUCAUACAAUAUUUUCAAUGUCUUCAUUCAAUUCUUCUUCUUCAUUUUUGCUAUUCAAAUCAAAAUCAUAUUGUUGUCUUAAAAGAUUUAUGUCUUUGACAAAGUCUUUUAUAUUUAUUUAUGUUUGCUUUUGUUUGAAUAUCUUCACUUAUAUCUAUUGUCAUCAUCUUUUAAUCCAAUAUAUGUAAUUUUCUUCAAAAAUAUUUCAAUCCAUUUUCUUGAUAAAUACCAAAAAUCUUUCAUCAUCUUCUAAUGUUCCUAACUCACAUAAUUUUUUUUUUUUUUUUCUUUUUUUUUUUGAAUGCCAAUAAAACUUGAAUCAAAAGCACCUAUAUUUUGUAAGAGUACCUCUUUUUUAUACCUCCAUAGUCUUACUUUACAAUGAUACUUCUCUAUUUUUUUUAUUUUUUUAUUUUUUUUAAAAUCCAAUAAAACUUAAAUCAAAGGCACCUAUAUUUUAUAAGAGUACCACCAUUUUUAUACCUCUAUAUUUCAAAGCAUUGUAUAAUCUCAUAAUAUUAUGUAAAAAUUCACAACUUCUUUUAUUCAAUCCAUAUGUGGUCUCAUAGCCGUAUGUAAUUUGACUUUCAUCAUCAUCUCCAUGCAUAAUUCCACCACUUUGUACAUUAUAAUAUUAUAAAUUUAUAUAACUUCUAUGAUCAUAAUUUUGAGUAGAUCUAUAAUCCAUCUCUUUUGAAGGUUCAACCUUAAACUCUUCAAUAUAUUCUAAAGUAUUAGACAAAAUAUCUUCACCUCCUUCAAAUGUAAAAAAUAUCUUUUUAUCACUAAGAGAUUUUCCAUCCAAAUUGCCAUUACCAACUUGUACAAACUUAUUCAAUGUAAAAUAGCCAUAGCUUCCAACCGCAUUUUCAUUAGUUUUCAAAUCUUUGAUCUUCAUAUUACCUUCAAAUUUUUGGAUACUUUGGCCUUCCAUAGUAAUAGUUUGAAAAUAAUCUUUGUUCUUUCCUUCACCAUCCUUGGUAUAAGAUUCAAUUUCUUUCAUCUGUAAAGAAUUGGCUCCUCUAUUAAAGUCUCCUACUUUCUCUUCAAUUUUUCUUUUUUAAGAUUAGUCCCUUGUAUUGAUAAAGAUGACAAAGAAGCCAAAGUAGAAGAUUUUUUAAGCCAUAUUGUAACUCCUUUAGUUUUAGUUUCUUGUUGCUUUGCUAAAAAAACCACUACUUCUUUCAACUUCUCCCAAUUAUUGGUACAAUCACUCUCUAUAGACUCAUCUAUAAGAAGUAUGAAAAGUUCGUCUCUCAAGGCAUCAUCAAGACCAUUUAAAAACAGCUCUACCUUUUAAAUAUAUAAUGAUCGUCUCUUUGAGGAUGAGAGUUGAUAAAAUCUCCUAUCAAAUUCUUCCAAGAAUUCAUAAAGAUCCAUAUGCUUACUUGGUUACAACUCUAUUCAAUCCAAAAAAUUUCGCUUGGUAAUCAUAUCAUCAUCUCUAUCAAUAAAUUCUUCUUUUAAAAGUUUUUGAAAUUUUGACCAUGUUUCUACACCCACUCCAAGAAAUCUCUUCACUUUUUUAUGAAAUCUAGGUUCAAUAUCCAAAUAUAAGCUUGAGAUUAUCUUUGCGUCAAGGAUUCGGCACGUCUCCAUCUCAUAUGUAUAAACUUGUAAAAACUUAGUGAUGUUCCAUCCUUCUAACCUCCCAAAUUUUUUGAUGAUUCCUUGCAAUGCACUUAUGAUAUCUUUUUCAAUUACUUGCAUUCUUUAUUGUUCCUCUAUGAAUAUACAAAAAUCUUUAAAAAACUCACUACUAUUUGAUUCAUCCAAAAUAUUCGACCUAUCCAAAGACAUUGAUGAUACAUCUUCUAUUUUGUUCUACGAUGAUCAAAAAUGUUCCUUGAAAUACUCCAAUAAAUACCUUAUGAUACUUCAAAAUGCUCCAAUAUAUCUAUAAAGCCUUAUAGUAUUCUAUGAUAAUCCAAAUAUUACCAUUGUAUUUUAAGAUAGUCUCCAAAGCUCUAAGAAUUCAAAAGCUCCAAGAAUUCAAAAGUUCCAAUUCAUGCACCAUUCAAAGCUCUUCUUUGACCUCUCCUCUUUUUUUCUUUUUUUUCUUUUUUUUUUUUUUUUUUUUUUUUUUCUAUAAUUCAAAUAAUCAAAGAUAAUCAAAUACCUUCCACCUCAAGCUUUUUACAUUGGGUUCACCAAAUAUAUCGUAACAUGUGAAGUCUUGCUUCAAAAUGCUCCAAGCAUGUAGAUGUGGAAGGUAGAAUAGAAAUUGUAACAACAAAAUCUUAACUUUAAUAGAAUACUAACUAAACUCUAAUUAGACCAUAACAAUACUAAGCAAGCUUUAAUCAAAUUCAAAGAAACCUCAAAGAAAUUACAAAGAAAUAAUAAGAAAUCUUAUAGAAAUAUUAAAAUAAUCACAAAUAUAUUUCAAAUACAUCUCAAUUCAAUCUUAAUUUAAUCCUAGUUAAAAUCCUAUUGGACUUUAUUCAAAUUUUAGGCCAAAAACUAACUAAAUUUUAAAUCCUAAAUAAAUUCAAAUAAAAUCCUAAAUUCUAAAUCAAAUCUUGACCAAAUCCUAACCAAACCUUAAAUCCUAAACCAAAUCCUAAAUCCUUAACCAAAUCCUAAUCCUAAAUCAAAUCCUAACCAAAUUCUAAAUCCUAAAUCAAAUCCUAAUCCUAAAUCAAAUCCUAAUCAAAUCCU
rnacentral:lncRNA from 1 species